GCGCGCAUAACCGUCUCGACCGUCGCGAGGCUUUGAUUGCUGCUUUGCGGGCUCAUUGUAAGUAGCAUUGCCUCUGGUAUUCAUUGUUGUACCUCAGUCCACACGCAAGCAAUAGAAAUGCGCCCGCCCAUCCGAUGCCGGUUUACAACUGCACACCAGCCGCGCUUAGAUUCAUGGCCUCGCAGAAGCGCAGUGGCGACAUGUGCGUUUCGGCGUCACUGCUGGGCCAUCGCAGGUGGCAAACUGCAUCUGAUUGACCACGCGACAGACGCGGCUACCGGCGUCUGCGUGUCCAGGGCAGGGGUCAAGGGCGUUCAGCCGAGCAAUGCCAAGGCAGCUCAAGCCAGCGCCGACAACGCGCCCUGCCUCGCGGUUGGGCUUGAUGACGAUUGUGUUGUUGCGUGAGCCUCAUACAUCACACCUCAACACGUGGUUGUCUGGGGGAAAGCCCUGCACCCACGCCUUGCACCCCUCUGGAUGUGGAUGUUUUGUCAAACGCGCAUGAAGUUUGAGUGGAAGCGCCCGUGCCUGCUGCAGCACUGCGCCCGAGCCCACUGGUGUCAAAGACGAGACCAGGCGGCGGAGGACCUGCCCGGGAGCGGUGCCACAACGCCACAGCGUGUGCUUCAUUCUUGUAGUUGACAUUUACCACGGGCGCCACGGCUGCCACGGCUGAUACUGGUGCGGUCAGACAGCCGCACACUGCUAGUUGAUACCAUGCGGAGUCACUACGGUAGUAUACACCAUUGUGAGGGCGCCUUGAGACCUAAGGGUGUGCGGGGGCCAGGGCAGGGGAGGCCCAGGUAGGGCCAGGGGCUCACAUGCGCAGCAGGGUGGCUAAGGGUUGGCUCAGGCUCCCUGCGCCUGCCCAGCAGUGCCGGGGGGGCCCUCCCCGGGCCGGGGCUGCCCUGCGGGCCCCAGC
rnacentral:lncRNA from 1 species